GUCCUGGUCGGAAACCAGGACCGACAAAAGGAG
rfam:Olsenella scatoligenes strain SK9K4 contig_1, whole genome shotgun sequence.